AGUUCGAUGUGGAGGAUGAACAUAAUGACCAAGUCUAUGAUUCGGAUUUUUCAUCAGAAGGUAGAAAGUCAUCUUCUCAUUUGUUAGCAAAUGCAGAUGCUUGGGGCCGUACGGAAAACAUGGAUGAGUUUCGAGGAAAGUCCAGUUCGCAGACACCGUUGACCUCGGCAUUCUUUUCUCAAGAUUUUACCACUGACCCUGUUCCUUCCCAACCACAUGAGACACCGUUGACCUCGGCAUUCUUUUCUCAAGAUUUUACCACUGACCCUGUUCCUUCCCAACCACAUGACUUGUUACCCAUGACUUUUGAUGAUUCUGACAGCGUAAGUUCAGAGAGGGAAGUGGAUCUGGAUACCUAUGAGGUGGUUGGUGGUUCAAGU
rnacentral:lncRNA from 1 species